rnacentral:tRNA from 2 species
AUCUUUCUAGUACAAGUAAGUAUAAAUGACUUCCAAUCAUUCGAUCUUGGUUAAACCCCAAGGAAAGAUA